UGGUGAUCGCUAUGGCAUGCGCUCAGCGCAACGCUCUAUGUUGAAAUCCCCCCGGGGAAUUGUAGUCUAUAGAAGUACCCUCUGCGACGGGCUGAGCUCAAGUCUCCUGGAAAGGGGCGUCAGAGAGGGUGAGAACCCCGUAAGCUCAUGCUUUGUUGCCUCACGAGGUGCUUUCGGAGGUCGGGUUGCUUGGGAAUGCAGCCCAAAUUUGGUGGUAAAUCCCAUCUAAGGCUAAAUAUUGGCGAGAGACCGAUAGCGAACAAGUACCGUGAGGGAAAGAUGAAAAGAACUUUGAAAAGAGAGUUAAAAAGUGCUUGAAAUUGUUGAGGGGGAAGCGUUUGAAUGCUAGGGUGCGCCUAGGCUUAUGGGUACUUAACGGUGCUCUGUAUGUGCUAGGGGCUGGCCAGCAUGGGUUGGGCUAGCGGGAUAAAAACUGGGGUUGUUACCCGGUCUAUGCCGCUGGCUUGACCAAGGCGUGAAGACUGCCCUUGUCCUUCGGGAACUGCAGUCUCAAGAUGCUGGCAGAAGGCUUUCAACCGACCCGUCUUGAAACACGGACCAAGGAGUCUAACAUGUAUGCGAGUUGGUGGGUGGAAAACCCAUGAAGCGUAAGGAAACUGACUGGUGGGAUGGCCUGUGCCUGCACCAUCGACCGACCAUGCGUUUCUGCAAAAGGUUUGAGUGCGAGCAUACCUGUUGGGACCCGAAAGAUGGUGAACUAUGCCUGAGCAGGGUGAAGCCAGGUGAAAACCUGGUGGAGGCUCGUAGAUGUGCUGACGUGCAAAUCGCUUUUCGGACUUGGAGUAAUAGGGCGAAAGACUAAUCGCACUUUCCUAAGUAGAUCG
rnacentral:rRNA from 1 species